UCAGGGGGCGGGGGGUCCCUCAGCCCAGAUUGUGAGAGGGUGCAGGCCAGGCUGAAGGACCCCACUAGUGCACA
rnacentral:pre_miRNA from 1 species